UUAUGUGGAUAUCUGUAGUAACUUAGUACAUAAAUAAAAAGUUUCCAAGUUGCGAGGAUGAGAUGUAAUGAUCCGCACUGUGCAGGUUUAAUGGUCUGACUAUAGAGACUCACACUUAACGUGUUGAAGUCACGUCUUUCUGACCGUGUGGAGCCGCUUCGCUCUUUUCAUCCGGUCGACUUUGUGGAGAUGAAACCGUCUCCAGGACGACAAUGUUGAUAAACGCUGUAAAUCCGUGUGUAGUAAUUACACAGCUGGGAUUACUCUCAUCCACGGUCACUUGUAGAUUUUCCGAGUCUGGCAGCAGCAGGUCCCUCUCUGCAGAACAAGUUUUCCUCCUUCACUCGUCAGGAGAGCAGUGACCGCAGGAGCAGCGGCGGCGGCAGGUUCUCUGAGCAGUGGGAGGCAGAUGGAGGUUGCCCCGGUAACCGUCGUUAAACACGAGGCCUCGUUCACCUGAACCAGAGUCUGAUCAGACACACAGAACCACGACCGCCACGUUUAUGUGAAAUACAUCAGGUUCAGAUAAACUGGAAUUUUCCUUUAAAGCUUGCUGUUGAUUGGCAGGGUCAGCCACACAUAACGGUUACCGUGGUGACGGGAGGCCGCGAGGAGAAAGCACAGAAAGUGCAGCCAAGACAGAGAAAACACACUUCAGGAGGUCAAAGGUCAGCAUCCCUGGAGCCGGGAGCGGGGCCAAGUGUUAGCAGUGAUUACUGUGUCAGAGUAAUGAUCCUCAUGCUGAAGCCAUCAGAGCCGCAGAGAAAUGACGACAUCACAGCCAAAAGAAAACAACCAUAUUCCAGUUUUAACGUUGCUCCUGUGGUUUGCGGAUCCUCAGACGCUCCUCCUGCUGCAGGUGGCUGCUGCUUUAACGCCCACCGCCUUUGAAUACAGAGCUCAAAGACUUGGACAAGACACCUGAAGUCCCUGAAGACAGAGAAGAAGAGGGAGGAGGAGGAGGAGGGGGAGGAGGGGGACGGGGAGGAGAGCGGAGUUGAUGUCUCUCUGCGGGAUCGAUCAGCUCCCAGGAGGUCGCUUUCUGGAGGAAGCUGAUUGGCUCCAUCUGGAUCAGAUCUGCACGCUGCACGGAGCAGAUAAAUCCUCUCUGCUGGUUUACACUGGUUCCAUCCCACUGAGCCCAGUGAGCCCAGUGAGCCCAGUGUCACUGCCGUGUGCUCCCGACUGUCCCGCAGACACAGAGUGUACUGACCUCAGCAGAUGUCCAUCACUAAACUACCAGCAAGGUUAUGAAACCCACAUGACUCCAUCAAUCAACCAUCAAACUAUCACAGAGAAUAAAGAAAAUAACAUCAAACACAAGUUAUGACGUUAACUUUGUUCAAAACUUUUUUGUCAUAGUUGAGAGAAGCAGAAUAUUUUUGGCGUCCUUCGCUCCGUGUUUGGUGGAUCGUUCUCUGUGACCACAGACGCCUCAGAACACACAAGACAAACCGGUUUUUCUCUUUCUUGAAACUUCCUUCCGUCUGCAUCAGUUUUUCUCUUU